GGAAACAAUAAAUUUUGAAAUACAUAUAAUAAUUCACGCGUAUUUCAUAUAUAUUUUUAAUUUUUAUGAUUGUAAUACCAAUUUUUUCUGCCCGGGCCUAUACAAAAUAAAAUACAGCAGGCCCAUCUACAGACCAAACCCAUAUUCAAAAAAAACCUAGCCUAAGAAGCAGCAAGCUUCAGCCGCAUGCCCAACAGCAGCCUCCCUAACUGCCGUCGCAUCCUCCGCGCACGUACACCUCUUCCACGGCCUCCAUACCUACGAGAAAAGCGGAUCCAAACAGCAAUAGACGCAACAAAUAAUGAAAUAGGAUUUUUUACUUUUAUUUUGCUGUAAUUUUGGCUAUAAAAAGCCAUCAAAAAUCUGUAAAAUGGGGGGAACCAAUAUUGUAUUGAGAGAAUACUGAAAUACAAAAAUAGGGAGAAAAUAUUGAGAUUACAAAGAGAUUUUUGAAGGUGAAUCGUGUUUAUUUUUUUCCAUUUUUUCCAUUCUUUUUUAUUUUAUUUUUUAUUUAUUUUUAAUUUAAAAUAUAAAGAAGGGAGGAAGGACUUACCUCUCUCGCCGGAUUCGUAUAUAUAUUUAUAUAUAUAAAAAAUAUUUCUCUAAUACAUAUACAUAUUUUUAUAUAUAUAUUGUUAUUAUUUCUUUUUUAGCUUUUAUAUACAUAUAUACGUAUAUACAUUUAUAUUUCUAUUAUAUUUAUAUAUACAUUCUUUUAAAAUUAUUAUAAACAUUUUAUUGUUCUACACAUUCCAUUAUUUUCAUAUUGCACCUAUAUAUAUAAGUAUCUAAAUAAGUACAUAUUUUCAUGAUUGACCUACUUAUAUACUCAUACAUUUUUAUUUUGUAAAUAUAUGCACGUAUACAUAUGUUUUUUUAUUUUUAUCUUCACAAUUUUCACAUACAUAUGUACAUGCAUAUUAUUAUAAGUUUUGUUUUGUAUAUUUCAUUCCCUUUUAUGUACACUUAUAUUUUUUAAAAUGUAUGCAUAUACAUGUUUUCAAAAUUCAUUUAUGCUUUAUACUUAUAUUUUGAAAACACAUAUAUACAUAUAAUUUAAAUUAAAAUAUUUGUAUCAUAUUGUACAUUACCUUUUUAACGUACCCUUUUUGAAAAUAUGUUUUGGUUUUAACCAUACAUCAAAGUUAUUUUCUCGCUCCAAAGGUUUUUUUUUUUGAAUAAAAGCAAUGUUCGAAGCUUGAGAUUUUCGAGGGAAAUUGAGCCCUAACGUAUUGGGUUCAGAUUUUCUUUGUUAAUCUUAAAUAACCGAGGAUAUUCUUUAUUCAAAAUGCAUGAGCAUAAAAAUCAUUUUUGGGAACUUAACUUGUCGUGCCCUAACGUAUUGGGUGUGGCAUGUUACUUUCUCGAAAUAAAUAUUUUCGCAUGAAAUAAAAGUGAUAUUCAAAGUUCGGGGAUUAUGAGGAAUUGUACCCUAACGUAUUGGGACUCGAUUUCUUUACAUGACUUGAACAAUUUGUUAUCCUUUUACAAAUUUCAUCAUUCAAGCUUAUUUUAAAAUCUUUUUAACUUUCGACACUAAGACAUUAAAUGAUCAAUUUGGUACCGAUUUUGGGCGUCACGAGGGUGCUAACCCUUCCUCGUGCGUAACCGACUCCCGAACUCGUUUUCUCAAAAUUCGUAGACCAAAAUAAUUUUUAAGGUGACCCGAUCACACCUUAAUAAAAGAUCGGUGGCGACUCCAGUUUUGUUUUAAAAGUCGACAACUAAAAUUUUUGUUUUUCAAAAAACGGUUUCGACAGCUUGGCGACUCCACUGGGGACACUAAAGAGUCGAGCCAUAAAUUGGUUAUUUGUUCGUCUUGUGAUCGAAAAUCAAAUUUGGGUUUUAAAAUCAUGAUUUCCCUUCAUUUUUUUUACCAUGGAAUGUUGGUAACCUUGCAUUUGCAUUUUGCAUUUUACCCUUAAGUGGGAGCGAGAAACUAGUCCUUCGUGAGGUUUUCACCUCCGUGCAGGGUAAUGGACCGCUUCCGGGAUACAUCCGUACCUAUGUCUUCGUGAGAUUUUCAUCUCCGUGUAGCCAUAGGGAAAUGUGUCCCCCUGAACCGAACUCGAUCCACAUGAGCCUAUAAUGGGUGAGGAUCGAGGAAUCUGCUGGUCGGGUACCUUUACUCUAGAAACUAAACCUCAUAUAGUGAGCUUUAGGAACUUACCUUAGGUAGAAGUACUCUAAACCUUAGGAGAUACCUGACUAGGAGUUUUUAUUAUUUCUUGCUUAUAUUGGAUUUAAUGUUUAUACCCGAUACUAACUCGUUGCAUUUUGUUUUGAUUGCAUGACAUCAUGAUCGCAUUGCAUUUUCAUCAUAAAAGAGGUGUUGAUUCACGUUCGGUUGUUAAUAGAGAGCUUGUCAUAAGGAAAUGGGUUUCUUGAUAAAAUAGAAAAUAAUACGGUUGCCCGAAUAUGUUCCGAGAAAACACAACAAGAGAAAGAUGAUAGUUUAAUGGAGGACUACAUAACCAUUGCUUCGUUGCCCGAAGACUCAAGCUGAUGAAGGCUAUUCGAGAGCCGCUGAACUUUUUGUUUAAGGGAAGCCAACGAGCAUCACGACGAUAAAGGAGCAACGAAGAACAGUCCGGAUCAAGUAAAAUGGAGAUAGAAGAGACAUCUAUUUUGAAGAAUUCACAAGAUUUAUCUUAGCAUCCAGAUGAAGAAGGAGAAGAUGUCCUCGCUUGGAGCAUGAGGGCAAAGCCGUAUAUAUAUAUCUGCUUUAUGUAAAGAAAUUUAUCUUCUAGAAAAGUUUUCUAAAUAGAAUUGAAUCAGAAUCAACGUCUCUUUUUGCAUUCAUCAAAUGCAUUUGCAUUACAUAGCAUCAUAUGCAUUAAAAUCCAUUGAAAGAGCCUAAUUAAUUAAAAUUAUUGCUUAGUUAACCUGGAAACCAACCAACCAACCCGACACCGAUACGGCACUCGAGCAAAGACAAAAGAUAUGGAUCAGAGAUUAGAGAAGCUCGAACAGUACCAGAAGGAGAUGCAAGACCGGCUUCAGCUACAAAUGCAGGAACGGUUAGACAAGAUGAAACAGGAGAUGUCUGAGAAGAUGCGGAAUCUCAAGAGGACAUAGUGGCAAAGUUAACCCGAUUGAUAACUAAAGGAGGUGAUAAAGGAAAGGGCCCCAUGGCAGAUGUCGAUGAGGGAAAUGAUGAUGAACUUUUCUAUCCUCCAGGUUUCAUCCCUCCACAUGAGCGAACUCAAGCUGAAUACCCGUGCAAAUCUACUGUCACCAUCAUGCCUCAGCAAUUUCGAGCUGGUAUUUCGAACCACCAAACUGGGCCGAGCUUUAAUCCUGAAAAUAAUCCUAUUAACUCUGCCAUUCCUGACUUUGAUGAAGUGGUUGAGAAGGAAAGAAUGAAGGAAAAGUUACCGAAACAGUUGGAAGAAAGAUACAGGUGGCUCGAAGAGAAGUUCAAGGCGAUGGAAGUCACUGAAAGUUAUCGAGGCAUUGACGCAAAAAAGCUGAGUUUAGUGCCAAAUUUAGUACUCUCUCAUAAAUUUAAGAUGCCUGAAUUUGAAAAGUACAAUGGGACAAGCUGCCCAGCAGCUCACAUCACCAUGUUCUACAGGCAAAUGGCUGGAUACGUUAACAAUGACCAACUAUUGAUACACUGUUUCUAAGAUAGCCUAGCAGGGGCAGCAUCUAAGUGGUACAAUCAGUUGAGUCGUGCCACGGUUGGUUCAUGGAGGGACUUGGCGCAAGCAUUCAUGAAACAAUAUAGUCAUGUGACAGAUAUGGCUCCUGAUAGAAUCACCCUUCAGAAUAUGGAGAAGAAGCCGAGCGAAAGCUUUAGGCAGUAUGCACAGAGAUGGAGGAAGGUCGCAGUCCAAGUUCAGCCACCACUCUUGGAAACGGAAAUGGCCAUGCUAUUCAUUAACACCCUAAAAGCACCUUUCAUCACACAUAUGUUAGGAAGUGCCACAAAAAGCUUUCCUGACAUAGUCAUGAAUGGUGAAAUGAUUGAGAGCGCUAUAAGGAGCGGGAAAAUUGAGACAGAUGAGAGUAAUAAGAGGUCAAUCUCAAGAAGAAGAGAAAAUGAGGUGGACAACACGGGUUACUCUAAAUCAGUUACUGUGAGUCAAACAAGAAAGGUGGUUGGUAAUCAACAGAAUUCAUCGAGGCAAGAUUCCGGCAUAAAGACUGAGAGGCCCCAAUUCACGCCAAUUCUGGUACCGUAUAAGGAACUGUAUCAAAAUUUGUUUGAUGCACAUGUUGUUUCCCCUUUUCAUGUGAAGCCUCUACAACCGCCGUAUCCUGAAUGGUAUGAUACGAACACACAAUGUGAAUAUCAUGCGGGAAUUACGGGACACUCGAUUGAGAAUUGCACUGCCUUCAAGAAGCAAGUUGAAAGACUUAUCAACAUGGGUAUUGUCAAGUUUGGUGACUCGUCCAGCGCAGGAAAUCCGCUACCCAAUCAUGAUUGAGGAUGGAGGGACUGCAAUAUAUGAAGAAGUGGUGAGAAAUUUGCACAUCGAUGCGGACACAAUUAAAAGGGUCCUUGUUAGAUAUUCGCCUUAGAGGUGUUCUAAAUAAUGGGACUGCAAAGGAAACCCCUAAAAUAUUUAGAGUCUGUUAGAGUAAUGUUAAGAACACACUUGUUGCUUUCAGCCUAGAAGCAAUAGGAGUUUCUUUGUGAAAUAGGCUCACGUCUGAACAUUAUUAUUUUAAUGAAAUACAUUAUUGCAAUCAUCUUUGAGCAAAUGUUCUUUCAUUCUUUACGAUUUCUUUAUUUUUUUUCCUUUCAGAUUUUUUCUGCCAAAUUAUUCGUUCAUUCGUUCAUAUUAUUCAUACAUUCUUUUGUAUAUUCUUUGGUACCCACUAUGGGUCCCCAAAUAUCAAUGACAUGAGUGACGCUGCUACAGACUCAAAUCGCCUUUUGAGUGAGACAUGUGUUUAGAGGGAUCUCAUGGCUUUGAAGAUGUCAUAAAUUGCAGCUUAUCUCCUAACUUGUUGAGGAUGGUAAAGCAAUAAGAGAAACAAAUGAGACAGCAGAGACUACGACCUUGAGAAAACAUGCAUGACCGAAGAAUAAAGCAAGACGUUGCUGAGUUACUUCAAGCAUCCAAAGAUGCCUUCGCAGGGUCAUACCAGAAUGUGCCCGGUUUAAGCGAGGUCAUUACAAUCUGAACAACAGCACGAUAUCAAAAGUUUGCAACAUGUUCAAGGUGAAUAUCAUGAAUGGUGCAAUGAAAACUCUACCGGGGCAAUGCCACUCUUUCCAGUUUAUCACGUUUUUUCAUUGAAGUUGAAAUUCUUUCUAUUCGAGUUUUGGCUGAGCUAAGGUAGGAUGAAGAUCCAAUCCCGAUACGAUUAGUUGAACUUAGUUGAAGAAAAAGGCUAGAAACUAUUCAUCAGGCUCAGAUGCACCAAGAAAUGAAUGAUGCGAGCCUAUAGCAAAAGGUUUGUCCCAGAGAAUUCCACGAUGGCAACCUAAUGCUAAAGAAGAUCCUCACUCUACAAAAAAAUAUAACGGAUGCCAAAUUGGGAAAAAAAUUAUGUUAUAGAGAAGGUCUUUUCCAAAGGAGUUUUGAUUUUGGGCGAGAUGGAUGAUAAACCUGCAAAGUCCUGUAAACUCAGGUUCAGUCAGGAAAUACUCCGCUUAAAGAAUGAGAUGACCAAGGUGAAAACCCACAAAGGGUGCUUUGAGUCCAAAAAAAUAAAAAUAAAAAAAGAGAAAAAGAGGAAAAUGGAGAGGCUAAGGUGAAAACCCGUAAAGGGCGCCUUAGACCAAAGGGGAUUUGAGUUGAAAACCCGAAAAGGGCGGCUCAAAUAUUGAUUAGAAUGGGGCACGAGAUUAUCGGAGUAGCUCAAAUACUGAUCAGAAUGGGGCAUGCAAUGGUCUUGCUAUACCUAAAUCAACAAGAAAUGGUAGGCGACAUCUUGGGGCAUCGACAAAGUAUUCCUAAACGCAUGUCAAACUCAGAAUGAUCUUCAGAAAGUCUGUACAGCAAAGUUCAAGCUGCGAUAUUUGGGGCACCUAAUUCUUAUAUUAUUUUUUGUUAUUCUUGGAACACUUCAUUCAUUUCCAAAAUACGCAUUCCUAAAUCAAUUUCUUUAUUAUCCAUCUUUAUUAUAUUUGACAAUUUAUUCAUUUCGAGCUUUGCUCAGAACCAACUCUAUUCUUAUCCAUGGUCUUUUUGCAAGCAUGUUUCAUUAGAAUAAUGAUUCAUAGACUAAUAAAACUUUCACAAGGGAAGUUUUGCAUAUUACUCUAGAAGUUUCUAAAUAAUAUAGGAUCCUCAAACAGGACUAUUGUUUAGAAUGCACUAGGUUGGAAAUCUGAUAAGGAAAAGUCUAAAUUAAGACUAUCCCUUUGAAUUUUCUUGUCUAAAGUAUUAAUUGAACAAAAUGGCAAGAUGUCGUGUUGGUGACAAAGCUUCAAUGAACAAGCAAGCAAUGAUCACCGGAUAAUAAUAAGAAGUUGUUCUUGGAGAAGAUUACUUUAUUUGUGCAUGAGCAUUUGGUACAACACCCUGGGAAUGGUGUAAGAGACCAAAGAGUUUCACAUCCUUGAAUUGUGAUAGUGGAGGAUUAAGAAAAGGCCAAAACUUUUUACUCUCGGGUUACAACGGGAGGAAGAUGGUACAAAUUUUCGCAUACCAUUGAAUCAAACUUGGAGGUUUACAGUGGGGGCAACCUGGUCAAGUGUUUCUUUGGAGACGCCAGCCGAGCAAAAGGUGCUAUAGCACAUUAGCGAUGAAACUUUAAAUAAACUUUGAGUAAUGAUAACCUAAGUGAAAAUGAGGGAUCAUUCUCGAAAAAAUGACAUUCUGCAUUCAUUCAAAUGUCAUUCAUACACGCCUAGUUAGGAGCAUUUGAUUCAUUUGAUCAUGACAUCCUAAUCAUUAGGCAUAGUUAGGUUCAUAAAGUGAAUUAUACAGGUCAUGUUCCCUAGAGAACAGAUCGGUGAAAUCAUAAAGCCUUAUCUCCCUGAACAAUAGUGGAGCAGGUUGAAAAGCAGCAGGUCUUGUCUUCCUAUAUUGGUAGCGAAGUGGAUCGAAUAUACAGAUCUCGCCUUCCCAUACUGGUGGCGAAGCAGAUCGAAGGAAAAAACAGAUCUUGUCUUAUGGCGUGAAGUAGAUCAAAGAUAACAGAUCUCGCCUUCCCAUACUGGUGGCGAAGCAGAUCGAAGGAAUACAGAUCUUGUCUUCAUGUACUAGCGUGAAGUAGAUCGAAUAUACAGAGCUCGCCUUCUCAUACUGGUGGCGAAGCAGAUCGAAAGAAAGUAGAUAUUGUCUUCAUGUAUCAGCGUGAAGUAGAUCAAAGUCAACAGAUCUUGUCUCCCCAUACUGGUGGUGGAGUAGAUCAAAGAAAGUAGAUCUUGUCUUCAUGUAUCGGCAUGAAGUAGAUCAAAGUCAACAGAUCUUGUCUCCCUAUACUGGUGGUGGAGUAGAUCAAAGAAAGCAGAUCUUGUCUUCAUGUACUGCAUGAAGUAGAUCAAAGAAACAAAUAUUGUCUCCCCAUACUGGUGGUGGAGUAGGUCGAAGAAAACAGAUCGUGUCUUCAUGUACUGGCGUGAAGUAGAUCAAAGAUAGUAGGUCCCGUCUUCCUAUAUUGGUAGCGAAGUGGAUCGAAUAUACAUCUUCCCAUACCGGUGGCAAAGUAGAUUGAAGAUUACAGAUUUUGCCUCCCUAAGCAGUAGUGGAGCAGAUCGAAGAUGGCGGAUUUUACCUCCCUGAAGUUGCAGUGGAGUAUAUUGAAGCCAGUAAUUCUACCUCCCCGGUCGGCAGUGGAAUCGAUUGAAAAAGCAGAUCUUGUCUUCAUGUAUUGGCGUGAAGUAGAUCGAAGAAAGUAGAUCGAAGAAAGCAUAUCUUGUCUUCCCAUACUGGUGGUGAAGUAGAUCGAAGAUACAAGUCUUAUCUCCCUGAAGUUGCAGUGGAGCAGACUGAAGUAACCAAUCCUAUCUCAUUGAAGUUGCAAUGGAGUUGAUUAAAACCGCAGAUCUCAUCUCUCUGAAGUUGCAGUGGAGCAGAUCGCGCCAGAUUUAUCUUUAAGUUGCAGCAGACCAAAUUGAAACUAUAAGUCUUGUCUCCCUGAAGUUGUAGUGGAGCAGAUUAAAGAUAGCAAAUUUAGUUCUUUUGAGAAGCUACAAUGUAUGAAUCCUAUCUCUUCGACAUUACAGUAGGAGUGGAUUGAAGCACCAGUUCCUAUACCUCUGGAGAUGUAGUGGGAAGGAACGAGGCUACUAACGCUAAGGUCCAUAUGGCCGGGCAAAAAUUGGUCUUUUUAAGUCAUUGCUCUAUUCUCGUCACACGAUAACGAGCAAAGAGGGGCAGCUGUAAUACCAAUUUUUUCUGCCCGGGCCUAUACAAAAUAAAAUACAGCAGGCCCAUCUACAGACCAAACCCAUAUUCAAAAAAAACCUAGCCUAAGAAGCAGCAAGCUUCAGCCGCAUGCCCAACAGCAGCCUCCCUAACUGCCGUCGCAUCCUCCGCGCACGUACACCUCUUCCACGGCCUCCAUACCUACGAGAAAAGCGGAUCCAAACAGCAAUAGACGCAACAAAUAAUGAAAUAGGAUUUUUUACUUUUAUUUUGCUGUAAUUUUGGCUAUAAAAAGCCAUCAAAAAUCUGUAAAAUGGGGGGAACCAAUAUUGUAUUGAGAGAAUACUGAAAUACAAAAAUAGGGAGAAAAUAUUGAGAUUACAAAGAGAUUUUUGAAGGUGAAUCGUGUUUAUUUUUUUCCAUUUUUUCCAUUCUUUUUUAUUUUAUUUUUUAUUUAUUUUUAAUUUAAAAUAUAAAGAAGGGAGGAAGGACUUACCUCUCUCGCCGGAUUCGUCGAGUCGGCGCUAUCUCCGUCACAGUCGGAGCCUUGGCGCGAGGCUGAGCGACGGCGUUCGAGGGUUGAGGAAACCCUAAAAGGGUCUGGUUUCUCCUCUGGAAAGGGAAACCCAAAAGAACAAAUAAAUG
rnacentral:lncRNA from 1 species